rnacentral:rRNA from 1 species
CGUCUAUAUACGUAUAGCAUAUCAAUAAGCGGAGGAAAAGAAACUAACAAGGAUUCCCCUAGUAACGGCGAGUGAAGCGGGAAGAGCUCAAAUUUGAAAUCUUCAAGGGUUUCCCUUGACGAAUUGUAGUUUAAAGAAGUGUUUUCUGUUAGAGAGGUGGUAAAAGUUCUUUGGAAUAGGACAUCAUAGAGGGUGAGAAUCCCGUAUUUGAUCACUUUCUUCCUAACUGUGUGAUACACUUUCAAAGAGUCGGAUUGUUUGGGAAUGCAGUCCAAAAUGGGUGGUAAAUUUCAUCUAAAGCUAAAUAUUGGCGAGAGACCGAUAGCGAACAAGUACCGUGAGGGAAAGAUGAAAAGAACUUUGAAAAGAGAGUUAAACAGUACGUGAAAUUGUCAAAAGGGAAGCGUUUGACACCAGUGUUGUUUUUCCGAAAAUCAAUUACGAAUGUUUUGUUUUUAAGAAGUUAUGACUUCAUCGGCUUGCUUCUUUCUUUACGAAACUUUCUUAAUGCACUUUUCGGUUAACAAGUCAACAUCAAUUUCUUUUGUUGUAAAAGGGUAUGAGGAAGGUGGCUUUCUUUUCGGAGAAAGUGUUUAUAGCCUUGUACCUUCUGCAAUCGGAGAGAUUGAGGUCUGCAGCGUAGAUCCUUCGGGGUUAGAUACAUUUGUGCUAAGUUAUAGCCUUUUCAUAGACAACUUGUUGACUAUGAUCAGUCAUGUAGCUUACUCGCUUAUGUCAUUUUACCUACGCUUAGGAUGUUGAUAGUCACAGCGUGUAC